UGAACUGCAGGACACAUGAACACCGACACGUUGAGACGCAUAUUGCGCAUUGCACGACUUAGUGCGAUGUACACAUUUUUGAGUGCCC
rnacentral:rRNA from 1 species